GGACCCUGCUCAAACGAGCUUACAAUCUGGAGGAAGUGCGGUAGAAAGACACAAUAGGAAGGGCUUCAAGGGAGACAGCAAGCAAACAAGGUGGAAAAGUAGCAUAACUGGAGGUGAGAGUGGAGUGUGGCUCUUUAGGAGAGAGGAAGAGACAGAUAAGUGACAUAGAAGUUACUUUGAACAGAUGGGUAUUAGGGACUUCUUAAAUGAUUAAAGACUAGGGGAGAGUCUAAUGGGGUUAGGCUGUUCCAAAG